GACGAACGCUGGCGGCGUGCUUAACACAUGCAAGUCGAACGGAAGGCCUGCAGCUUGCUGCGGGUACUCGAGUGGCGACCGGGUGAGUAACACGUGGGUGAUCUGCCUUGCACUUCGGGAUAAGCUUGGGAAACUGGGUCUAAUACCGGAUAGGACAGCUGUUUAGUGUCAGUUGUGGAAAGUUUUUUCGGUGCAAGAUGAGCUCGCGGCCUAUCAGCUUGUUGGUGGGGUAAUGGCCUACCAAGGCGUCGACGGGUAGCCGGCCUGAGAGGGUGUACGGCCACAUUGGGACUGAGAUACGGCCCAGACUCCUACGGGAGGCAGCAGUGGGGAAUAUUGCACAAUGGGCGGAAGCCUGAUGCAGCGACGCCGCGUGGGGGAUGAAGGCCUUCGGGUUGUAAACUCCUUUCGACAGGGACGAAGCUUUUGUGACGGUACCUGUAUAAGAAGCACCGGCUAACUACGUG
rnacentral:rRNA from 1 species